UACGGAGGGUGCAAGCGUUGCUCGGAAUUAUUGGGCGUAAAGGGUAGGUAGGUGGUCUUAUUUGUCUGGGGUGAAAGCCUUGAGCUUAACUCAAGAAGUGCCCCAGAAACGGUAAGACUGGAGUCUCGGAGAGGGUCGUGGAAUUCCCGGUGUAGCGGUGAAAUGCGUAGAGAUCGGGAGGAACACCAGCGGCGAAGGCGGCGACCUGGACGAGUACUGACACUCAACUACGAAAGCGUGGGGAGCAAACAGG
rnacentral:rRNA from 1 species